UACGUAGGGGGCGAGCGUUGUCCGGAUUCAUUGGGCGUAAAGCGCGCGUAGGCGGCUUCGCAAGUCGGCCGUGAAAUCUCCGGGCUCAACUCGGAGGGGUCGGGCGAGACUGCGAGGCUCGAGGUGGGCAGAGGGCAGUGGAAUUCCGGGUGUAGUGGUGGAAUGCGUAGAGAUCCGGAGGAACACCAGUGGCGAAGGCGGCUGCCUGGGCCUGGCCUGACGCUGAGGCACGAAAGCGUGGGGAGCAAACAGGG
rnacentral:rRNA from 1 species